rnacentral:tRNA from 1 species
GGAUCCAUAAGCUCGAAAUGGGAAAAGCGCUCACUAGUUGAGAGGCUGAUGGUUCGAAUCCAUCUGGAUCUA